UACGACGGGGGCUAGCGUUGCUCGGAAUCACUGGGCGUAAAGCGCACGCAGGCGGAUUGAUAAGUCGGGGGUGAAAUCCCGGGGCUCAACCUCGGAACUGCCUUCGAUACUGUCUAUCUUGAGUCCGGGAGAGGUGAGUGGAAUUCCUAGUGUAGAGGUGAAAUUCGUAGAUAUUAGGAAGAACACCAGUGGCGAAGGCGGCUCACUGGCCCGGUACUGACGAUCAGGUGCGAAAGCGUGGGGAGCAAACAGG
rnacentral:rRNA from 1 species